rnacentral:rRNA from 1 species
AACGAACGCUGGCGGCAUGCCUAACACAUGCAAGUCGAACGAGACCUUCGUGUCUCGUUUCGCACGGGUGCGUAACGCGUUGUAACCUGCCUUUAUGUUCGGAAUAACUCCCCUAAAGGGGUGCUAAUACCGUAUAAUGUCUUCCGACCAAAGAUUUAUCGCCUUUGGAUGGGCCCGCGUUGGAUUUGCUAGUUGGUAUGGUAAAAGCCUACCAAUGCGACGAUCCAUAGCUGGUCUGAGAGGAUGCUAAGCCACACUGGGACUGAGACACGGCCCAGACUACUACGGGAGGCAGCAGUGGGGGAUAUUGGACAAUGGGAGAAAGAAUGAUCAAGCAAGGACGGGUGAGUGAUGAAGGCACUAGGGUGGUAAAGAUCUUUUAUACGAGAUGAUACUGACAGAACCGGGAGAAUAAGCUCCGGCUAACUCCGUG